rnacentral:lncRNA from 1 species
CCGGUAGCAUAGAAAUAUCUUUCUGAACCAAUCGAUGUGACCAUCUAGCAAUGAUGACCCGACAUCCGGAUAGGUCGAAUGAAGGUGAAGCAAUAUUCAAGAACCUAUGGACGUAUGGUUAUCAUAUAAUUCAUCCCUUUGACCCUAAUGCUCGAGGAUGACCUAGGAUUUAACUAUCAAUCCUAGAUAGAUCAUCCACAUUAUAUUUUAAUCUUUUUUAAAUCCAUCACAUGGAUUAUCUGGGCCU